rnacentral:lncRNA from 15 species
UUUUCGUUUUUCUCUAAGGAAGAAUACGCCCUAUAAAGAUACUGUAUGCCCAAGAGGAGCAGGUGGUCCCCCUAACACAAGUUUUACGCACGCCUCAGAGCCCCCCUCCACAUACACACACACACACACACACACACACACACACACACACACACACACACACACACACACACACACACACACACACACACACAAAGACACACAGGUCACCAUUGGCAGGUUCAUUCUCUCCAUCUCAGAACAAUAUAGCUUCUCCCAAAUCCUCUCCACACCGAUGGACCUUUAGGAACAAUAAUGACCAGUAUUUGUUUAAUGGGUUGAUUAAUCAAUUAAUCUAACCUGUGCAGGCUUCCAAAUCUGACAUAAAAUCGGAAUUCGAGACAAGACAGGCUAUGCAUUCGCACUUUAUGAGUUUCAUCCGUCAAUAACAGAAAGGGUAGGGAUGGUCGUUUUGCUGUUAUGCAAUAAAGUUCAAAUUUGUUUGCACUAAUGUAGAAUUUGCGCUCAGUUUGGCCGGUUUUUCUUUCAGAGACAGAAACUGUAGGCCAUGCAAAUGGCAAUAAUUUAGUCAUCCUCUGACCACUUAGCUGAAGAAUGUUUGAGCAACUUCCUAAAAGAGAGCAAACUAAGGAUAAUAAUAACUUCUUUCAUACGCUGCCAAUAAAAAUUGGACUCCAUUAAAGGAAACACCGAAGACAGAUACACAACUUUUGUUACUGUUCCAACACUUAAUAUUAACAACAACAAAAAAAGCUCAUUGAUAAGACAUAGCAUUUAGCAGUCAUCAAAUGAACCAGGGCUAGAGUUAUUUCUAUGACAUCUACACAAAUUUCCACAACAGGCAAAAAAAAAAAAAAGAAAGAAAGAAAAAAAGCCUUGUUGUUGAGCCACCAUGAGCGCUAAGCACAGGAAUCAGUUAAAAAAUGGCUGGAGAGAUGGCUUGCCCCGCCAGGUUUUAUAUGGACAGGCUUGGGGCGUUGGCGACAGUAGUUUCCCCAGUUUCAUUUAAACCACCUCAAAAUGACAAUAUCCCUUUACACGGACGCAGAUGGAAAGCUAUAGCAAAAAUGACUUUGUUGCGGAAACUCCUUGAAGGGGAGUUUGCGAGCAACUUCCUCUCCUGUCCGCUGGACUUCGUGCACAAAUUGUUUUUUGUUUUUUUUCUCAAGAGGACUAUGAUUAUCUCCAAGCUCAGAGGAUCUCCGGGAUGUGGAUGUCUUCCAAGCGCUGCCAGUUACAAGGAGAGGGAGUAUCCCCCACAUCUCUGGAAAAUUGCAGAGAGCAAGCAAAACAUUGUGACUGGUCAUCUUGAGCACGAGCGGAGACUGAAAAGCAACAAUUGAACGGGACUCGGCAUUUGGACGAGUGGAUGAGAGCUACUGUGUGACAUCAGUAAACAAACCCUCGAGGGUUGAGACUGAAGUUGGAAAAUGAGUAAGUCGUGGCCCAAAAUGAUUGCCUUAAUUACUACACAUAUACUGAUAUAUGAAGUGAUGAAACUAAGAGACUUAUAAAAGUUUAAAGAUGUUUUCUUUACAUGUGAAAAAAGUGUCUUGUAAGGAACAGAUGUGAAUAUUUUAAUAUGAUAGAGAUAAUGUUUGGUUGUAAUGUCGACAUAAUGUUUUAGUUGGGUCGGCUUCGUAGGUGUCAUUGGUUACUAAAUGGUGAGUUUGCUCUCUGCUUAUGUGCAGUCAGCACAGUACGACUUAAUCUAUUUUUAUCUUGUUUCAUAUUGUCAACCAAACAAGGCUGGCCUGAGUUGCUCACUCAAAUGCUGGCAACAAACUCUUAAUUCACAUCGUGUCAUAACACAUGAAAAUCCUCAUUCAGAAAGUGUAUAGAGGGUUGGGAGAGAAAUAUGAGACAUAUAUUGACUGGCUCAAUGCAACACACUGAAAUACAUCAGAAGAAUAUCCUCUUACAUUAAGAUCCACUUACACUAAAGCAAAGAUGUCAGGCACAUAAACACCAUCAUAAAUAUCUGCCACACUUACUUUCUAUCACAGAAAAACAGCGGAUGAAACUCGCCGGGCUUUCACCGCCCGAGAAUCAUCGACGCAAAGAUGAAAUACCUUAGGUUUUUUUCUCAGAUGCAAAUUUAGAGCUGACCAGCUGCUUUGUUGAUAUGUUUUCACUUUGAAUUUAACUGUAUGCAAAAGUAACAUGGACGUGUGUUAUAUAUUUUUUUAAACCUAGCCUUGAUAAUUACAUAACCAAAGUGAAACCCUGAAUUUAUUGUAUGUUGUGGACUUCUGGAAAAUGUUGUGACAUAGAUGCACACUGAAUAGGAAAAAAAAUGUAAAUAGCAGACAUUUAUACUUGUGUGUCCUAAGAUGUGUUGCAGAUAGAGUAAAUUGAGACUUUUUACUUUCUUUGACUGUUAUGACCAUCGAUCAUAAUCAUCUGUGUUUGGUUUGUUCUCGCUGAUACAAUCAUGUUACUCAUAUUGUUGCGAAUGCUGCUCCAACAUUCUUCAUUGUCAUGUUUUUGGCAGUUUCUUUCUUUCUGUCUUUCUUUUCUUUUUUUUUUUUUACAUACUGCCCAUGAAAAUUCCACCUACUCAUUGAUUUGGCAUACUAAAACAUGAGGCUGCUGAUGUUGUUUGUGCAGUUUUGUCAGAGAAGCGUUGGAGUUUGUUACCUCUCUUAGACCUGCAAUGUUGCCCUUGAAUUUAAUGAUUAGAAAUGUCCACUGACAUGGCAGUUUUAUUUUAGUUUUUGGAAGUAGUAGUAAGUUGUAUCACAUAUUUUACUGAAGACAGUAUUUUACUUUCCCAUAUUUUCCUUUGACAAACAUCUUUUGCAUACUGUGUCAACUAUAAUGGCACUUAAAAAGCUUGAAUUAAGAGCUCUUGAUCCUAGUGUCUUUUUCCUAUACUCCUAAAGAAAAUCCAAAGUUCACAUUCUCUUCACUUUUUCCGAAAAAUUCGUAUCUGUAAUUACCUCAAUAAUAGCAUCCCUCAGAAAAGCUGUUUACUGAAUGUUCCAGAUAUUUCCUUAGCGUCAGAAAAACUCGUAACCACAAAAUAGCCACAACAGUUUUAAAACAGAUGUCAAUAGUUUACUUGGGAAAUCCUUAUGGGAAGGUUGUUUUUAUUGGGAGGGAGUCCACACCAAAAGUUUUACCAGAAAAUCUCCAACACAGUUUAGGGACUGUGAAAUCGAAAGUUGUUGCUUCUUUCAAAAAUAAGUAAAAGAAAAGAAAGAUAACUGAAACUGAACAUUAAACUGACAGUGGACUGUCAUAUCAG